UUAACUCAAAUUUGUAUGGAGUUGGAUCGUUUGCCUAUGUUUGCCGCUAGGGGCGCUGUUCCAAUUGCAUACAAAUCGAGUUA
rnacentral:pre_miRNA from 1 species